GAUGAAGAACGUAGUGAAAUGCGAUAAGUAAUGUGAAUUGCAGAAUUCAGUGAAUCAUCGAAUCUUUGAACGCACAUUGCGCCCGCCAGUAUUCUGGCGAGCAUGCCUGUUCGAGCGUCAUUUCAACCGUCAAGCCCCAGGCUUGUGUUGGAGCCCUGCGGCUGCCGCAGCCUCCCAAAACCAGUGGCGGGCUCGCUAUCACACCGAGUGCAGUAGUUUACUCUUCGCUCAGGGCGUGUGGCGGGUGCUAGCCGUGAAACCCCCAACUUCUCAAGGUUGACCUCGGAUCAGGUAGGAAUACCCGCUGAACUUAAGCAUAUCAAUAAGCGGAGGA
rnacentral:misc_RNA from 1 species